rnacentral:snRNA from 1 species
AUACAUUUCACGGCCUUUUGGCUAAUAUCAAGUGUAGUAUUUGUUCUUACCAGUUUAAUAUCGGACAUGUGGAUCAUAGAUUCACACGAUAUUAAAUUAACUUUUUUAGGGUGAGAGCCCGUUACGGUAGCUUGCUGUCAGGGUUCUUGAGUGUUGUCCGUGAAUACUGUACGGGCUUGACGCAAUCCAC